AUUGAACGCUGGCGGCAGGCCUAACACAUGCAAGUCGAACGAGUGGCGGACGGGUGAGAAAUGUCUGGGAAACUGCCCGAUGGAGGGGGAUAACUACUGGAACCGGUAGCUAAUACCGCAUACCAUCGGAUGUGCCCAGGUGGGAUUAGCUAGUAGGUGGGGGAACGGCUCACCUGGGCGACGAUCCCUAUCUGGUCUGAGAGGAUGACCAGCCACACUGGAACUGAGACACGGUCCAGACUCCUACGGGAGGCGGCAGUGGGGAAUAUUGCACAAUGGGCGCAAGCCUGAUGCAGCCAUGCCGCGUGUAUGAAGAAGGCCUUCGGGUUGUAAAGUACUUUCAGCGAGGAGGCGUUACUCGCAGAAGAAGCACCGGCUAACUCCGUGCCAGCAGCCGCGGUAAUAC
rnacentral:rRNA from 1 species